rnacentral:rRNA from 1 species
AUUGAACGCUGGCGGCAGGCCUAACACAUGCAAGUCGAACGAGUGGCGGACGGGUGAGUAAUGUCUGGGAAACUGCCCGAUGGAGGGGGGUAACUACUGGAAACGAUAGAUAAUACCGCAUACCAUCGGAUGUGCCCAGAUGGGAUUAGCUUGUAGGUGGGGGAACGGCUCACCGGGGCGACGAUCCCUAGCUGGUCUGAGAGGAUGACCAGCCAGACUGGAACUGUGACACGGUCCAGACUCCUACGGGAGGCAGCAGUGGGGAAUAUUGCACAAUGGGCGCAAGCCUGAUGCAGCAAUGCCGCGUGUAUGAAGAAGGCCUUCGGGUUGUAAAGUACUUUCAGCGGGGAGGCGUUACCCGCAGAAGAAGCACCGGCUAACUCCGUGCCAGCCGCCGCGGUAAUAC